rnacentral:rRNA from 1 species
GGGAAAGUGCAAAGCACUUUGAAGAGAGAGUUAAAGAGGACGUGAAACCGAUGAGGUGGAAACGGACAGAGCUGGCGUAUCUGGCCUGCAUUCAGCCGCGACCCGCUGGCGUCAGGGAUGCCGCUCUCCAGAUUGGGACGGUGGUCUGACUGCUCGGUGGGUUUCGUGGUGCAUUUGCAGGUGGAGUGCGCCGAGGCGCUCGGUGCAGCGGCAUGAGCUUGGCUUUGAGGCCAGCCUCGCAAGAGGUCUGGUACCCGGGCCAGGGGAGUGCUGUUUGCGCUGGGCGCAGCAAAGGGCAAUGGUCUCGGGCUCGUGUGGGUGCCGAGCUGGCGGUCGGCGUCGGUCGCGUGCGACACGUGCCAUCAGUCAGUUCGGUCCUGCUCGAGCUCACAUCUGCUCGACCUCGGUGUAAAAGCCGGUCAUCUGUCCGACCCGUCUUGAAACACGGACCAAGGAGUUUAGCGUGUGCGCGAGUCAUUGGGCGUUGAAAACCCAAAGGCGUAAUGAAAGUGAAUGCCUCCCUUGCGGAGCUGAUGUGUGAUCCUGGAUGCCUCGGCAUACUGGGCGCAACAUAGUCCCGUCCCGAUUGCUUGCAAUGGGGCGGAGACAGAGCGUACGCGCUGAGACCCGAAAGAUGGUGAACUAUUCCUGAGCAGGAUGAAGCCAGAGGAAACUCUGGUGGAAGUCCGAAGCGAUUCUGACGUGCAAAUCGAUCGUCUGACUUGGGUAUAGGGGCGAAAGACUAAUCGAACCAUCUAGACGGGGCCCCCCCCCCCCCAAA